rnacentral:rRNA from 1 species
CAGCAGCCGCGGGAAUACGAAGGGUGCAAGCGUUAAUCGGAAUUACUGGGCGUAAAGCGUGCGUAGGCGGCUUCUUAAGUCGGAUGUGAAAUCCCUGAGCUUAACUUAGGAAUUGCAUUCGAUACUGGGAAGCUAGAGUAUGGGAGAGGAUGGUAGAAUUCCAGGUGUAGCGGUGAAAUGCGUAGAGAUCUGGAGGAAUACCGAUGGCGAAGGCAGCCAUCUGGCCUAAUACUGACGCUGAGGUACGAAAGCAUGGGGAGCAAACAGGAUUAGAGACCCCGGUAGUCCCUGUCUCUUAUAC